AAAAAAUAUAAUACGUUACAGUCGAAUAUCCGCGAUCUACGUGAAAAUGUAGCGCAGCAUCUCGUAAAAGGCUUUGCUAGGAAAUCGAAGGAUUUACCGCGUUUCCGACCGACCUGGAUGUCGUUCACCUCGCCGGACAUCGUUGCAGGAAUCUCAUCGUGUACAAUGAACAGAAAAGACCACACUAGAAAUUGGUCAUUCUUUACGGGUCAGAACUUGAAGAUCAAAGGAUUAAAAGCAUAGUUCAAACAAAAGAAGAAAGUUCUUUUAGAUUUAAUUAAAAUAUUUUAAAAAUUCAUGAGGAAAAAACAAACGCAUUAACAUAAUAACGCAUUAAAUUUUCAUCAAAUAUUUGAAAUCUACAAGAAAUACUGUAAAAAUAUUAUUGUAUUAGACACAAAGUUGAAAUAAUUUCAUAUUCAAUAUGCUAGACCUUAAUCGUUAAGCUCUUGUGUAACAAUGACAAAUAAUUGUUGGAUGAGAAACAACAAACUACAUUUCGCAACAGAGAAGUCCAGGAAAUUCAGUUUCAGCCCUCUGCUAGCAAUAAAUUACGUAGGAAGAACAGAGAAUAUAGCGACACAAAUUGCAAAGUUUCUACGGAACUUGUGAAUAGUUCAAUCGAUCAUGUUCAAAUUUCGCAUUACUUCGACUGCCAUAAAACAGAUGACUGAUGCGCAAUUCUCCACUACACAGAUGUGUUUUGUUAUUAUAUUCAACUAAUACACUCGAAUUUGUUCAACAACCUCAUGUUACCUCAAUGAUUAAGGAAGGGAUUGUCCUUUCUUCUCGUUACUGAACAAUAUUAAACAAUUUCUGUACACAUAAAAUCACAUAAUUUACAAGAUAUCAUUCUCUUGUUCACAUCUAAGAGGAAAAAACCUGCAAAAACUAUGUCUUAUAACUUUGAACAUGCUGAACACACAUACACACGCUUUUUAGAGCAUCGUGGAUCGUAAGAACGUCUCCGCGCUCGAUCGAAACGAAGUUACUUUUAUAUCGUCAUGAUCGCACGUCACGUACCGGUAACUUCGGGAGCUGAUGCUUUCGAAGAAGCUUCGCUCGAAGUUUAAAUAUUCCUCGAUACUUGGCAAACGUCCCUUUAAACCUUUUAGCCAACCUGCUCUAUAAACGAGGCGAACAUGAUGCAGGAACACCGCAAUAGAAAGCAUUAACCCCUUUUUUCGACUUUUGCUUCAGCGAAGUGCAUUCGCAUGUUUUUAAACAAAUGCACUGUCCUCGUAGCCAGUUAAAAAUAUAAUAGCAUUUUUUUUAAAUUAAGAAGAUACUUUUCAUGAUAAACUGUAAUAAUUUCGAAAUGGGUAACAGAGAUUGCAGAUUCCGUCACGAAAGAAGAAAAAUAGUAACACGAAACGUAUCAAUAUUCUCAUGUUUACAGCAAAGCUCGACAAUAGCAAAGCUCACGCAAUACGAGGCUUAAACGCAACAUCGAUGUCUGAGCAAGACAAUCUUACUCAGUUUCUUAGAAAUCGAAACGAAAAAUAUCAAGUAAGAAAUAUAUGUCCUCCUUUCUUAUGUAAUCCUACAUUGAGUAGUAAGUUUGCCAUCGUCUCAUUUUAUGGAUACUGAGCUGCUCGAAAUGUUAGUCCUUACUUUUCUCGUAUGAGAUCUGCAGGCUUAAGGUAAGAGUCCAUUUGAAAGAAAUAUUACCGAGAGUCAGUCUGGAGAGUCAUACUUGCAAAUGGACGUACUAAGGGAGUACUAUAAAAUUAGUCUCCUGUUUAACAUUAAUCUCUUUGUAAAAUUAUUCUCUUUAUAAAAUUAUAUCCUCUUAUUCUUUUACCAUCUUUAUUUCCGAGAAUUACUCUCGAAUGAACACCAAGCUUUAAUUGCUGUUACGAAUAGCAACGAAGUAUUGUAAUUAUUCAUAAAAUAACUUGGAAAAAAGUAGAUGGGAAAUUUUCACACCGAACUCUGUAUACCUUAAUUUAACAAUGCUCGUAGAAUAGCAACACGCUAUGCACAAUACGAAUUCGUUGAAGCAAUAAUGGGCUAAUAAAAUAACAAAUAAUAGAUAGAAUUUUAACAGAAACACGAAUGCAAUUCCAACUUUCGUGUUUGCCAAGAUUAAUUCGUAACACAAUUGUCCGAAUCGUGCGCAUAUUUUUAUCAAUAUCCGUCAACGAGCUGCAUGCGCACAAUGGUGAUAUUGUUAGUGCAUUGUUCCCAAAAUAAUAAAUAUGGAAAAAAACACACUCGCAUCCACGUGAUUAAUUUUGCGUUGCUCUGCAAUACGGCAGCUGUAUUUUCGCGAUUCUGCGAUAUGGCGCUCAUAGUGAAACAGUAAACUAGUUUACUUCAUUUGCGAGACGAUAUUCUCUAAUAACAUGAAGGCUCGACACAGACUUGUAUCUAGUAAAAUGUCAAUCGUUAAUUACUGCCCCUACACGCUUGGCAGGCGAUCGCAAAGUCAGUGAGAAGAAUAGACUCGUGCAAAAGAUCAAACGAGCAUAUCCAUCGUCACAAUUUCAAGUUAUUUUCUAGUGUUAAAUUCGUAUGAGAGAUCAACGCGAGUCUAACGGUCAGUAAUUCUAGCAUUAAAAAGAUUCAGUGAUAAAAUGUUGCUAUCUAACCGAAUCAUAAUCGAUGUUAUCUUGGUGCCGUGUUAUAUACAACUUAUUACGUGUGUCUUUUAUCUUUUAAUAAUAAAGAGAAUGCAAAUCGAUAACUUGAUUAAAAUCAAAUCUAAGAACAGGAUGAUAUAAAAUGUGAUUAUAAUUCCAACUUUCUGCAUUACAGUUUAAACUAUGGAUUCGCGAGUGGCGGCAUCAUGAUUGCACAAAAAUUGUAAAAACUCAUUGAUCAUUGUUCGUGACCUAAAUUAGAUCUAUUUUGAUGUAGAAGUUUUUCUGUGAAACGCAUACUGCCGAUAAUUUUCUUUUCUAGAUAAACGAGUAGAGGACGUAUUCGAUAGAUAUGAUAAUCUGUCCUUGGGUUCGUGAUAACACAUAUCGUUUUGCAUUUAUAAAUCCGAUUCAAUUGGUCUGAAUUCAGUCAGUCACGCAUUUACAUCAGUGAAAUAUUAAUAAAAUAAACGAUGAAGGGAAUAUACGUAAUCGCUAUUGCCUUCCUGGCAUGUUGGAGCGUGAUCACCGCAAACGAGAAUUCUGACCAAGAUAAAUCUGAGCGAUCUGUAUUCGAAGGGAAACAACCCUCGGACGAAAUUCCAACAAGAUGUCUGUUUCACGGGAAACCAUCAAUAAACAGUACGAUCCAUCUGGCACACGAGAAUGAUUGUACCAAGUAUUACAAGUGUUUCAUGAGCAAACGAGUCGAGAUAGAAUGCCCCAUAUUCGGCAAGCGAGAGAAGCGAAAGCUGCAUUUCAAUACAAAAGAACAGGUCUGCGAUUGGCCAUGGCACGCUGGUUGCACGAACUGUCCCGGAAACCCAGAGAACGGCUACCCACAAACUAAGAUAUCUCACGAAACCGAUGACUGCAAUUUGUACUACGAGUGCAUCGAUGGCGAGAAACAUAUUCGUCGAUGUCUCAACGGUCUGUGUUUCAGUCGCACAUGUCAAGCAUGCGUUCAGAAUCGAGCAGGUGGAAAUUGCGAUUCUUCCGAUCAUCAUAGAAAAUAGGAGUCUCACGAAACAAUCGCCAGAAACGUUUCCCAGAAUCUUUCACCGACAGUCUUUACUUUAACUUGGAAGCUAACAAAGUGACAGGUGCAAAUUUUAGCUGUGAAUGAAUCUUACUUGAGAAGAAAUAAUGAAAGAGAAGAUAAAGAGGAAAGGCAAAUUAUGUGCAAACUACGACGAACAAUCUAGAAAUUUCGUAAUAAUACAGUAGAAAUGAGAAAAUCUUAAAAUUUUCCUAACAAUAUUUUCUUAAAUCAACUUCAGAAAAAGGUUUUUAUUAUUUCAUGAAAAUCGUGAAGCGAAUUCGUCGACGUUGAAUGGCGCACAUGCAACAGCUUGCAUAGAGCAAAUGGCGACUUCUAGACAGGCGGAUCAAACAGGAUAAUUAAAACUGAUGUUGUAAGAUUAUGUACGCUCAUUUCGCUUCGUAUUUGGACACUUGCCAUCGCCCAGCUAUAACAGUACUUGUCGUGAAACACAAGAACAACGCUCAAACAAAUUGCAUCAAUCCUUUUAGAGCGCACGCGAUAUUCAUAUAAUUUUUGUUACAUCAUCAAAUUUUAUUCAUUCUCGAGCGCAAAGGCAAUUCAAAAUGUUAUUUUGUAAAGCAUUGCAAGCAUUUUAAUAAAACUAAAGAAAGAUACUUCAUAUAUUUCACAAUUUUUGUUUUAAAUUACUGUAGGCUCCAUUGGAACAUAUUGUUUCUAAUGUUAUUAAAUAUAUGAGUUCUUUUUUUCAAUUCCUUGAUGUUUCAUAUAUUAAUUGGAUUAGAUCAUCAAUAUAAGAAAAUUAUAAUAUUAAAAUAGAAAAUUAAAAGAUAAUUCACGCACUAAAUAACGUAAGAAAAACACUAUAUCCUAAUUUCAUAACUUAUUUACAACAAAAAAGAACUGUAAUAAUAUGUGACAAAAUGUUUUUUAAUUACAGAAAUUGUGAAUAUUUUCAUACAUCUAAUAAUGAAAUUAAUAAUUCAAUACAAAUUCUCUCUGAUGUACUGAAUAAGAAACGAUACAUCUUAAGAGAGCUGAUGUAAUGAAAAAAAAGUUACAAUAAAUAAAAUAUGUAUAUA